UCAGGAUGAACGCUGGCGGUAUGCUUUAUACAUGCAAGUCGUACGAGAGUUUUUAACUCAAGUGGCGGACGGGUGAGAAACACGUAAGAAUUUGCCUUUAGGAGGGGGAUAACAACUGGAAACGGUUGCUAAUACCCCAUAUGCUUUUGAGUGAAAUGGAUUUUUCCGCCUAAAGAGAAGCUUGCGGCUGAUUAGCUUGUUGGUAAGGUAAUGGCUUACCAAGGCGACGAUCAGUAUCUGGUUUGAGAGGACGAUCAGACACACUGGAACUGAGACACGGUCCAGACUCCUACGGGAGGCAGCAGUAGGGAAUUUUCCGCAAUGGGCGAAAGCCUGACGGAGCAAUACCGCGUGAGGGAUGACGGCCUAUGGGUUGUAAACCUCUUUUUUCAGGGAGGAACAAAAUGACGUGUACCUGAAGAAUAAGCAUCGGCUAACUCCGUGCCAGCAGCCGCGGUAAGACGGAGGAUGCAAGUGUUAUCCGGAAUCACUGGGCGUAAAGCGUCUGUAGGUGGUCAAAUAAGUCACUGUUAAAUCUUGAGGCUCACCUCGAAAUCGCAGUCGAACUAUUCGACUAGAGUAUAGUAGG
rnacentral:rRNA from 1 species